rnacentral:rRNA from 1 species
UACGUAGGGUGCAAGCGUUUAAUCGGAAUUACUGGGCGUAAAGCGUGCGCAGGCGGUGAUGUAAGACAGAUGUGAAAAUCCCCGGGCUCAACCUGGGAACUGCAUUUGUGACUGCAUCGCUGGAGUGCGGCAGAGGGGGAUGGAAUUCCGCGUGUAGCAGUGAAAUGCGUAGAUAUGCGGAGGAACACCGAUGGCGAAGGCAAUCCCCUGGGCCUGCACUGACGGCUCAUGCACGAAAGCGUGGGGAGCAAACAGG